rnacentral:rRNA from 1 species
AAAUGAAUAGACGGGGGCCCGCACAAGCAGCGGAGCAUGUGGCUUAAUUCGAAGCAACGCGAAGAACCUUACCAGGGCUUGACAUUCAGGUGAAGCGGGGGAAACCUCGUGGCCGAGAGGAGCCUGAACAGGUGGUGCAUGGCUGUCGUCAGCUCGUGUCGUGAGAUGUUGGGUUAAGUCCCGCAACGAGCGCAACCCUCGUCGCAUGUUGCCAGCGGUCCGGCCGGGCACCCAUGCGAGACCGCCGGCGUCAAGCCGGAGGAAGGUGGGGACGACGUCAAGUCAUCAUGCCCCUUAUGUCCUGGGCUGCACACGUGCUACAAUGGCAUGAACAAUGGGCUGCCACUGCGCGAGCAGGAGCGAAUCCCCAAAUCAUGCCCCAGUUCGGAUUGGAGGCUGCAACCCGCCUCCAUGAAGUCGGAGUUGCUAGUAAUCGCGGAUCAGCACGCCGCGGUGAAUGCGUUCCCGGGCCUUGUACACACCGCCCGU